UUGAUGUGUGUUUGUGUGUGUGUGUGUGUGUGUCCAUAUACAUCUGAUUCGAACCGUUCUAAUUAAUUUAGAAAGCACUGUGACACACACACACACAUACAUACACACAUA
rnacentral:misc_RNA from 12 species